rnacentral:tRNA from 1 species
GGGCGUGUACCCGAAUAGGCAUAGGGACUUGUUUUAAAAACAAGCGUCGAAAGACAUUAUGGAUUCGAAUUCCAUCAUGCCCACAA